rnacentral:misc_RNA from 1 species
UCUCCGUAGGUGAACCUGCGGAGGGAUCAUUACCGAGUGCGGGCCCGCCGUGGCCCGACCUCCCACCCCUUGCGAGCCGACCGCGUUGCCUCGGGGCGCCCGCGCGGCCCCCGGGGGCGAUGGAAACUCCUGUCUGCCUGCCGUCGGAGUGACUUGCAAAUCAGCAAAACUUUCAACAACGGAUCUCUUGGUUCUGGCAUCGAUGAAGAACGCAGC